GCUCAGGAUGAACGCUAGCUACAGGCUUAACACAUGCAAGUCGAGGGGUAGCAGGGUAGCAAUACCGCUGACGACCGGCGCACGGGUGAGUAACACGUAUCCAACCUUCCCAUAACUCGGGGAUAGCCUUUCGAAAGAAAGAUUAAUACCCGAUAGUACUUAUAUAAGGCAUCCUAAAUAAGUUAAAGAUUUAUUGGUUAUGGAUGGGGAUGCGUUCCAUUAGAUAGUUGGUGAGGUAACGGCUCACCAAGUCUUCGAUGGAUAGGGGUUCUGAGAGGAAGGUCCCCCACAUUGGUACUGAGACACGGACCAAACUCCUACGGGAGGCAGCAGUGAGGAAUAUUGGUCAAUGGGCGAGAGCCUGAACCAGCC
rnacentral:rRNA from 1 species